rnacentral:ncRNA from 2 species
GACACAACAUAUGGGGGCGGUGUUCCCACCCGGCACAAGAUGUAUGCUCAUGCUCGCUGUCGCCGCAGGGGAAUCCGGUGCGAAUCCGGAACUGUCCCGCAACGGUGUACUCAUGCGCGUUCGUCCGCGUAUGGGCGUCAGUCCGAGGACCUGCCGACAGUGCGCCCAGGCC